GAGACCAAUAUAUAUAUAGGUGGGAGAGAGACCAAUAUAUAUAUAGGUGGGAGAGAGACCAAUAUAUAUAUAGGUGAGAGAGAGAGACCAAUAUAUAUAGGAGAGAGAAAGACCAAUAUAUAUAGGAGAGAGAAAGACCAAUAUAUAUAGGAGAGGGAGACCAAUAUAUAUAGGAGAGGGAGACCAAUAUAUAUAUAUAGGAGAGAGAAAGACCAAUAUAUAUAGGUAAGAGAGAGAGACCAAUAUAUAUAGGUGAGAGAGAGACCAAUAUAUAUAGGUGAGAGAGAGAGACCAAUAUAUAUAGGUGAGAGAGAGACCAAUAUAUAUAGGUGAGAGAGAGACCAAUAUAUAUAGGUGAGAGAGAGACCAAUAUAUUUAGGUGACAGAAAGACCAAUAUAUAUAGGUGAGAGAGAGAGACCAAUAUAUAUAGGUGAGAGAGAGACCAAUAUAUAUAGGUGAGAGAGAGACCAAUAUAUAUAGGUGAGAGAGAGACCAAUAUAUAUAGGUGAGAGAGAGACCAAUAUAUAUAGGUGAGAGAGAGACCAAUAUAUUUAGGUGACAGAAAGACCAAAAUAUAUAGGAGAGAGAAAGACCAAUAUAUAUAGGAGAGGGAGACCAAUAUAUAUAGGAGAGGGAGACCAAUAUAUAUAUAUAGGAGAGAGAAAGACCAAUAUAUAUAGGAGAGAGAAAGACCAAUAUAUAUAGG